GGUUGCUAAUGAAACAUAAUGAAGGUUAUGUUUUCAGUCAUGGUGUGUUUUUACCAUAUGUGCUAAUAUCGGUCUAGAUAUACUGAGAUACGAGUACAUUUCUUUCUGUGAAGUCCAAAACUAGGCCUACUUCAUAAUUCUUUCUGUCUCCUUCUGGGUGAGACGUUCACCGUGAUAAUUAAAAUUUGUGAGCCUUUCCGAAACCAUCAUGGGCAGUACUACACCUCCACAAGCAUUGAGUGGUGUAGGCCUGGAGACAGAUUUGUACAGAUUGUAAUAACCAGGAAUGUAAGUGCUCAAGUUGCUGGCAUAUUGAUGUAGUUCCAUGUUUUAAAGAUAAAAGAUACAAUUUCCUUCAGAAAACAGCAGGAGCCUCAUUUGGCCGCCUGCUUUUCUGCAGACGCUGUGACGGAUGGAUGGAAACUGGGAGGAACUGAUAGAACCUGUCCUUCCCUCGCCUUCACAGGCUGCGAUUGCUGGCGGCCAUGCAGCGUGACUGGCACACAGUAAUGAAGUGUCAAAAAGUGCCAAGAUUCUGUUCUGACAAUGCUACAGAUCGCUUUUGGGGCCGAAAGCGGCAUUAUUCCUGCUGUUUUUACCGCUCGCAGCUUUAUGCACUUUCUUUUACAUCGCUGGAAAGUUUCAUCCUGCCUGGCCUGGGAUCCUUCAGUCCGAUUACAAUAUGAUCCGUGGGUCCUCUCUAGUACUGCUCAGACUGCGUGUUUCCAGUACGGAAAUACUGCACAGCUUUUGUGGCUAUUGUUAAUAAAUUGGCAGAGCUUUGCUUUGGAGGCCUGUAUGUGGGUUUGAAGUGGUGGUGGGCUUUAUCAGUUUUAAAAGGAUGGUAUUUGGGCUUUUCAGUUUGGGUGUGGGGGGUUCGGUUUUCUUUAUGAGGUGGUGUGUUUGUGACAGCCGUACAGGUGCAUGCUGGUUAAUCACGCUGAGCCUUGGGUCAGUGGAGAGUGGCCCUGUGUCCUGAGAGGGUCCUGCUGUCCUCUCCCUGAUUGGUAAACGGAGUCCCCAGGGAGCAGCCCCUUCACACGAUAAAAAAUGGUUCCUAGAAGCAAGAGCAGUAGAAAGGACACAGAUAAAAGUUUUCAUGGUUCGAAACAGAGGUCAAUCUUCAAAUGAAUUUGAAUUUCCGAGAGUCUCAAAUGACCUGUUUUGUUACAUUUUGUCAUUGUGAGAUGUUAUUCUGAAAAAUCUUUUUCUGAAAUCACCGGGUUUCAGUGAUUUUAGUCCCCUCCUUCUAAGCCAGCAUGGGACCCCACACCAUAAAGCUGCUGUCAUUACCGCCAAAGACUGCUUCAGUCCACCAUGCUUGUGCCAGCUGCUGAACUUCACGUAUGUACAACCCGCAAGCGUGUCAAUCUUUUGUAUACCAUGAAAUAGUGUCACGGAAGCAUCAUUCAUCUUCCCUGUGGUCCAUGGUUGAGGCUGCGCUGAAGCGUUGGAUCGCACGCACACGCCUUGGAGCGCACGCACACGCCUCGGAGCCUCCUGGUCUGAGCACGUCAUGUAUAAGUGAAUGAGUCACUGCUCCGCUCCGUGUCCCCACAUAGCCCCACAGAUGUUUCAUAAGCAUCACCAUCACAUGCUUCAUUUCGCAGAAUGGGAAUGUUGCUCUCGGCUACGUGUGGAGCCACCUCCUUCAUCCUGAAUGGCCGCUGGUGGGGAUCGUUCCCACCUCACUGUCUCAAAUCUUCAUCUUUCAGUCUGGUUCCUCUCUUAACCUGCCUGAAACAUCAGUCUGACAAGUACAGAUGAGUGCAUUUUAUUUUUUAAAGAGCACUCACACCAUUAACUGCGCUAUUGCGUUUUGAGCAUCGUAGCUGUUUCUGUGGUGUGGUGUGACGCUCCCUCUGGUGUGGCUCGAGGUUGCUAUUUGGGUGUUUAAGUGCAACAUUUCCUCUGGCUGUAACUACACAUUGUAAGGAAUAUUAAACACGUGCUUUUUUAAGUA